rnacentral:rRNA from 1 species
UACAGAGGGUGCGAGCGUUAAUCGGAAUUACUGGGCGUAAAGGGCGCGUAGGCGGUUUUAUGUGAGUGAUGUGAAAGCCCCGGGCUUAACCUGGGAAGUGCAUUGCUGACUAUAGGACUGGAGUAUAUGAGAGGGUGGCGGAAUUUCCGGUGUAGCGGUGAAAUGCGUAGAGAUCGGAAGGAACGUCAAUGGCGAAGGCAGCCACCUGGCAUAAUACUGACGCUGAGGCGCGAAAGCAUGGGGAGCGAACAGG